rnacentral:rRNA from 1 species
GUGGGGAAUAUUGGACAAUGGGGGGAACCCUGAUCCAGCCAUGCCGCGUGUGUGAAGAAGGCCUUUUGGUUGUAAAGCACUUUAAGCGAGGAGGAGGCUACCGAGAUUAAUACUCUUGGAUAGUGGACGUUACUCGUAGAAUAAGCACCGGCUAACUCUGUGCCAGCAGCCGCGGUAAUACAGAGGGUGCAAGCGUUAAUCGGAUUUACUGGGCGUAAAGCGCGCGUAGGUGGCCAAUUAAGUCAAAUGUGAAAUCCCCGAGCUUAACUUGGGAAUUGCAUUCGAUACUGGUUGGCUAGAGUAUGGGAGAGGAUGGUAGAAUUCCAGGUGUAGCGGUGAAAUGCGUAGAGAUCUGGAGGAAUACCGAUGGCGAAGGCAGCCAUCUGGCCUAAUACUGACACUGAGGUGCGAAAGCAUGGGGAGCAAACAGGAUUAGAAACCCGGGUAGUCC